GUCUUUCUAGUAUAGAACUAGUAUUAGUGGCUUCCAACCACCCGGUCUUGGUGAAAAUCCAAGGAAAGAUA
rnacentral:tRNA from 1 species